GUGUGACUGCGUACCUUUUGUAUAAUGGGUCAGCGACUUAUAUUCUGUAGCAAGGUUAACCGAAUAGGGGAGCCGAAGGGAAACCGAGUCUUAACUGGGCGUUAAGUUGCAGGGUAUAGACCCGAAACCCGGUGAUCUAGCCAUGGGCAGGUUGAAGGUUGGGUAACACUAACUGGAGGACCGAACCGACUAAUGUUGAAAAAUUAGCGGAUGACUUGUGGCUGGGGGUGAAAGGCCAAUCAAACCGGGAGAUAGCUGGUUCUCCCCGAAAGCUAUUUAGGUAGCGCCUCGUGAAUUCAUCUCCGGGGGUAGAGCACUGUUUCGGCAAGGGGGUCAUCCCGACUUACCAACCCGAUGCAAACUGCGAAUACCGGAGAAUGUUAUCACGGGAGACACACGGCGGGUGCUAACGUCCGUCGUGAAGAGGGAAACAACCCAGACCGCCAGCUAAGGUCCCAAAGUCAUGGUUAAGUGGGAAACGAUGUGGGAAGGCCCAGACAGCCAGGAUGUUGGCUUAGAAGCAGCCAUCAUUUAAAGAAAGCGUAAUAGCUCACUGGUCGAGUCGGCCUGCGCGGAAGAUGUAACGGGGCUAAACCAUGCACCGAAGCUGCGGCAGCGACGCUUAUGCGUUGUUGGGUAGGGGAGCGUUCUGUAAGCCUGCGAAGGUGUGCUGUGAGG
rnacentral:rRNA from 1 species